GUGUAUGGUCAUACCACCCUGAAUAAGCCCAAUUCUGUCUGAUCUCAGAAGCUAAGCAGGGUCAGGCCUGGUUAGUACUUGGAUGGGAGAUCACCUAGGAAGACCAGAUGCUGUAGGCA
rnacentral:rRNA from 1 species